AAAGUGAAUAGUGAAAUCUGGUGGCUCAACCAUACAGGCUAUUAUUCAAACUCACCGACUCGAGAGUAGCAGAGGUAACUGGAAUUUCUGAAGUAGGGGUAAUAUCCGUAGAUAUCAGAAGGAACACCAAUGGCGUAGGCAGGUUACUGGGCUAUUUCUGACGCUAAGGCACGAAAGCGUGGGGAGCGAACCGGAUUAGAUACCCGGGUAGUCCACGCCGUAAACGAUGGAUACUA
rnacentral:rRNA from 1 species